UGGGGAAUAUUGGACAAUGGGGGGAACCCUGAUCCAGCCAUGCCGCGUGUGUGAAGAAGGCCUUAUGGUUGUAAAGCACUUUAAGCGAGGAGGAGGCUCUCUUGGUUAAUACCCAAGAAGAGUGGACGUUACUCGCAGAAUAAGCACCGGCUCACUCUGUGCCAGCAGCCGCGGUAAUACAGAGGGUGCGAGCGUUAAUCGGAUUUACUGGGCGUAAAGCGUGCGUAGGCGGCUUUUUAAGUCGGAUGUGAAAUCCCCGAGCUUAACUUGGGAAUUGCAUUCGAUACUGGGAAGCUAGAGUAUGGGAGAGGAUGGUAGAAUUCCAGGUGUAGCGGUGAAAUGCGUAGAGAUCUGGAGGAAUACCGAUGGCGAAGGCAGCCAUCUGGCCUAAUACUGACGCUGAGGUACGAAAGCAUGGUGAGCAAACAGG
rnacentral:rRNA from 1 species